rnacentral:rRNA from 1 species
CCUACGGGUGGCAGCAGUAGGGAAUAUUGCGCAAUGGGCGAAAGCCUGACGCAGCGACGCCGCGUGAGGGAUGAAGGUCUUCGGAUCGUAAACCUCUGUUAGCAGGGAAGGACGGUCACUUUGCUAAUCAGCAGUGAAUUGACGGUACCUGCAAAGGAAGCACCGGCUAACUCCGUGCCAUCAGCCGCGGUAAUACGGAGGGUGCGAGCGUUAAUCGGAAUUACUGGGCGUAAAGCGCUCGUAGGCGGUAUGUCAAGUCAAGGGUGAAAUCCCCGCGCUCAACCUGGGAAGGGCCUUUGAAACUGGAAAACUGGAGUGUAGAAGAGGAUAGUGGAAUUCAAGGUGUAGGAGUGAAAUCCGUAGAGAUCUGGAGGAACAUCAGUGGCGAAGGCGACUAUCUGGCACAUAACUGACGCUGAGGAGCGAAAGCGUGGGUAGCAAACAGGAUUAGAUACCCCUGUAGUC